rnacentral:rRNA from 1 species
UACGGGGGGAGCAAGCGUUGUUCGGAUUUACUGGGCGUAAAGGGCGGGUAGGCGGCCUCUGCAAGUCGACUGUGAAAUCUCCGGGCUUAACCCGGAACGGUCAGCCGAUACUGCAGGGCUAGAGUGCAGAAGGGGCAACUGGAAUUCUCGGUGUAGCGGUGAAAUGCGUAGAUAUCCGGAGGAACACCAGUGGCGAAAGCGGCCACCUGGACUGUACCUGACGCUCAAACGCGAAAGCUAGGGGAGCGAACGGG